rnacentral:lncRNA from 1 species
ACAAAACGUCUUGUCUGCAGUAUGCAUUACUCUCAGAAAACAAAAGGUGUUUAAGAUAGCACUGUACUACUACAGCAGCUGUUUAAGGAAGACAGAGCAGGCAUUGGAUAAUAUUCUUAUUAAGCUCAGGACAGUCAGCUUACCCUGAGGCGCAUUGACCACUGGGAGAGAUGUGGAUAUAGAAAUCCAAUCAUGGAUCAUUAGGAAGAAGGAAGCGUUGGAUAGGCUCUCAGCAUGGUCCACCACAGUUGCAUUAAGGAUUGUGUAUUACGUUUUUUACUUAUGUGAAACACCACCUUCCCCCAUCAAGCCUGUAAGUAUGAAGUCGAGUCCCUAGUGAAUCUACUCUCUGACUCCUGUGUUUCAAGCACCCUCAUUAGCAGAGCUUAUAUAGUUCGGAGUUGAAGAAUUUUUUUUUCCCAAAAAUUCUCUUCUCAUUUAAUAGACACCUGUCUGUAGAGUAAACUAUGCAGGCCAUAAAUGGAACAAAGAUAGUUUAGGAAAAUACAGUUUCUUAAAUAAAUUACUUUUAAAAAGUAUAUUUUCUCUCAGCUCUUCUCUCCAAAGGAG